rnacentral:rRNA from 1 species
GACGAACGCUGGCGGCGUGCUUAACACAUGCAAGUCGAACGGAAAGGCCCUGCUUUUGUGGGGUGCUCGAGUGGCGAACGGGUGAGUAACACGUGAGUAACCUGCCCUUGACUUUGGGAUAACUUCAGGAAACUGGGGCUAAUACCGGAUAGGAGCUCCUGCUGCAUGGUGGGGGUUGGAAAGUUUCGGCGGUUGGGGAUGGACUCGCGGCUUAUCAGCUUGUUGGUGGGGUAGUGGCUUACCAAGGCUUUGACGGGGAGCCGGCCCGAGAGGGUGACCGGCGAGAUUGGGACUGAGACACGGCCCAGAGUCGUACGGGAGGCAGCGGUGGGGAAGAGUGAAGAAUGGGGGAAAAUCUGAUGAUGCGGCGGCGAGUGGAGGAAGAAGGGCUGAGGAGGGUAAAAUCGGGGUGUUGAGGAAGAUAAGGACGGUACUCAAAAAGAAAGUGACGGCCAACUACGUG